GUGGGGAAUUUUGCGCAAUGGGGGAAACCCUGACGCAGCGACGCCGCGUGAAGGAUGAAGGUCUUCGGAUUGUAAACUUCUUUUGUUGGGGACGAUAAUGACGGUACCCGAUGAAUAAGCCACGGCUAACUCUGUGCCAGCAGCCGCGGUAAGACAGAGGUGGCAAGCGUUGUUCGGAAUUACUGGGCUUAAAGGGCGCGUAGGUGUCCCGGCAAGUCAGAUGUGGAAUCUUUCCGCUUAACGGGAAAAUUGCAUCUGAAACUGUCGGGAUUGAGUCAGCGAGGGGAUGGCGGAAUUCCAGGUGUAGCGGUGAAAUGCGUAGAUAUCUGGAGGAAGGCCGGUGGCGAAGGCGGCCAUCUGGCGCUGAACUGACACUGAGGCGCGAAAGCGUGGGGAGCAAACAGGAUUAGAAACCCCAGUAGUCC
rnacentral:rRNA from 1 species